GCGUCUCCGUUAAUGAUUUUAGGUGCUUGCACUUGAAAGAUUUAACAUUGAGACGAGUGGCGAACUGGUGAGUAACACGUGGGUAACCUGCCCUUGAAGUAGGGGAUAACACUUGGAAACAGGUGCUAAUACCGUAUAACAACCAAAACCACCUGGUUUUGGUUUAAAAGACGGCUUCGGCUGUCACUUUAGGAUGGACCCGCGGCGUAUUAGCUUGUUGGUAAGGUAACGGCUUACCAAGGCGAUGAUACGUAGCCGACCUGAGAGGGUAAUCGGCCACAUUGGGACUGAGACACGGCCCAAACUCCUACGGGAGGCAGCAGUAGGGAAUCUUCCACAAUGGACGAAAGUCUGAUGGAGCAACGCCGCGUGAGUGAUGAAGGGUUUCGGCUCGUAAAACUCUGUUGUUGGAGAAGAACAGGUGUCAGAGUAACUGUUGACAUCUUGACGGUAUCCAACCAGAAAGCCACGGCUAACUACGUGCCAGCAGCCGCGGUAAUACGUAGGUGGCAAGCGUUGUCCGGAUUUAUUGGGCGUAAAGCGAGCGCAGGCGGUUUUUUAGGUCUGAUGUGAAAGCCUUCGGCUUAACCGGAGAAGUGCAUCGGAAACCGGGAGACUUGAGUGCAGAAGAGGACAGUGGAACUCCAUGUGUAGCGGUGAAAUGCGUAGAUAUAUGGAAGAACACCAGUGGCGAAGGCGGCUGUCUGGUCUGUAACUGACGCUGAGGCUCGAAAGCAU
rnacentral:rRNA from 1 species